rnacentral:rRNA from 1 species
AAUGGUUGACCUCGGAUCAGGUAGGACUACCCGCUGAACUUAAGCAUAUCAAUA